AGUUUGAUCCUGGCUCAGGAUGAACGCUGGCGGCGUGCCUAACACAUGCAAGUCGAACGAAGCAUACACCACGGAAGCCUCCGGGCGGAAGAGGGGUAUGACUGAGUGGCGGACGGGUGAGUAACGCGUGGGCAACCUGCCCUGUACCGGGGGAUAACACCCAGAAAUGGGUGCUAAUACCGCAUAAGCGCACAGUGCCGCAUGGCACGGUGUGAAAAACUCCGGUGGUACAGGAUGGGCCCGCGUCUGAUUAGCUAGUUGGCAGGGUAACGGCCUACCAAGGCAGCGAUCAGUAGCCGGCUUGAGAGAGUGACCGGCCACAUUGGGACUGAGACACGGCCCAAACUCCUACGGGAGGCAGCAGUGGGGAAUAUUGCACAAUGGGGGAAACCCUGAUGCAGCGACGCCGCGUGAGUGAAGAAGUAUUUCGGUAUGUAAAUCUCUAUCAGCAGGGAAGAAGAUGACGGUACCUGACUAAGAAGCCCCGGCUAACUACGUG
rnacentral:rRNA from 1 species